ACCUACCUAACUGGGUUAGGGCCCUGGCUCCAUCUCCUUUAGGAAAACCUUCUGUGGGGAGUGGGGCUUCGACCCUAACCCAGGUGGGCUGU
ensembl:miRNA MIR1296 microRNA 1296